rnacentral:rRNA from 1 species
CGUGAGGGAAAGGUGAAAAGAACCCCGGGAGGGGAGUGAAAUAGAACCUGAAACCGUGUGCCUACAACCGCUCAGAGCCCCUUAUGAGGGUGAUGAGGUGCUUUUUGUAGAACGAGCCAACGAGUUACGGUAUGUAGCAAGGUUAAGUACUUAAGGUACGGAGCCGAAGGGAAACCGAGUCUGAAUAGGGCGACUAGUUGCAUGCCGUAGACCCGAAACCGGGUGACCUAUCCAUGGCCAGGUUGAAGCGAGGGUAAAACCUCGUGGAGGACCGAACCACGUUGCUGUUGAAAAAGCAUGGGAUGAGCUGUGGAUAGCGGAGAAAUUCCAAUCGAACCCGGAGAUAGCUGGUUCUCUCCGAAAUAGCUUUAGGGCUAGCGUCGAGUAUGAGUAGUGGAGGUAGAGCACUGAAUGGGCUAGGGGGCAUAGCGCUUACCGAACCUUAUCAAACUCCGAAUGCCACAUACUUUGAGCUCGGCAGUCAGACUACGAAUGAUAAGAUCCGUGGUCAAAAGGGAAACAGCCCAGAUCGUCAGCUAAGGUCCCAAAGUGUAAGUUAAGUGGGAAAGGAUGUGAGAUUUCUAAGACAACUAGGAUGUUGGCUUAGAAGCAGCCAUUCAUUAAAAGAGUGCGUAAUAGCUCACUAGUCGAGAGAUCUUGCGCCGAAAAUGUAACGGGGCUAAACUUACCACCGAAGCUACGGGCUUGAACUUAGUUCAAGCGGUAGGAGAGCGUCGUAACCGGGCUGAAGUCGUACCGUAAGGAGCGGUGGACUGGUUACGAGUGAGAAUGUUGGCAUCAGUAGCGAGAUGUGGGUGAGAAUCCCACAGGCCGAAAACCUAAGGUUUCCUCAGGAAGGUUCGUCCGCUGAGGGUUAGUCGGGACCUAAGCCGAGGCCGAAAGGCGUAGGUGAUGGACAACUGGUUGAUAUUCCAGUACCACUACCAUCGUUAUUAUCGAUGGCGUGACGCAGGAGGAUAGUGUGUGCUAGCUAUUGGAUGCUAGUCUAAGCGUUUAGGCAGUGAGAGUAGGCAAAUCCGCUCUCAUAAUGCUGAGGCGUGAUGGGGAAGGUUCUACGGAACCGAAGUACAUGAUUCCACGCUGCCAAGAAAAGCGUCUAGAGAGAGAAGUAGUGCCCGUACCGCAAACCGACACAGGUAGGUGAGGAGAGAAUCCUAAGGCCGGCGGAAGAAUUACAGUUAAGGAACUCGGCAAAUUGACCCCGUAAGUUCGCGAGAAGGGGUGCCUACGAGAGUAGGCCGCAGAGAAUAGGCCCAAGCAACUGUUUAGCAAAAACACAGGUCUCUGCUAAAGCGUAAGCUGAUGUAUAGGGGCUGACGCCUGCCCGGUGCUGGAAGGUUAAGGGGAACACUUAGCGCAAGCGAAGGUGUGAACUUAAGCCCCAGUAAACGGCGGCCGUAACUAUAACGGUCCUAAGGUAGCGAAAUUCCUUGUCAGGUAAGUUCUGACCCGCACGAAUGGCGUAAUGACUUGGGCACUGUCUCAACUGUAAAUCCGGCGAAGUUGUAGUGCGAGUGAAGAUGCUCGCUACCCGCGAUUGGACGGAAAGACCCCGUAGAGCUUUACUGUAGCUUAGCAUUGAGUUUUGGUAUUGUCUGUACAGGAUAGGUGGGAGACUAGGAAACCAGGGCGUCAGCCUUGGUGGAGUCAACCUUGGGAUACCACCCUGACAGUACUGAAAUUCUAACUGGCGGCCAUGAAUCUGGUCACAGGACAUUGUUAGGUGGGCAGUUUGACUGGGGCGGUCGCCUCCUAAAAAGUAACGGAGGCGCCCAAAGGUUCCCUCAGAACGGUCGGAAAUCGUUCGAAGAGUGCAAAGGCAGAAGGGAGCCUGACUGCGACACCCACAAGUGGAGCAGGGACGAAAGUCGGGCUUAGUGAUCCGGUGGUACCUCGUGGGAGGGCCAUCGCUCAACGGAUAAAAGCUACCUCGGGGAUAACAGGCUGAUCUCCCCCAAGAGUCCACAUCGACGGGGAGGUUUGGCACCUCGAUGUCGGCUCGUCGCAUCCUGGGGCUG